GAUCCUGGCUCAGGAUGAACGCUGGCGGCGUGCUUAACACAUGCAAGUCGAACGAAGCAUUUACGACAGAUUUCUUCGGAUUGAAGUUGUUUAUGACUGAGUGGCGGACGGGUGAGUAACGCGUGGGUAACCUGCCUUGUACUGGGGGAUAGCAGCUGGAAACGGCUGGUAAUACCGCAUAAGCGCACAAUGUUGCAUGACAUGGUGUGAAAAACUCCGGUGGUAUAAGAUGGACCCG
rnacentral:rRNA from 1 species